UGUACGCUUCUGUGUUUUCUCGGU
rnacentral:siRNA from 1 species